CAGCUGAGUCAGUCAGACUCAGUGGAGUUAGUGCUACCAGAAACUCGUUCAGUCGAGUUUCCGGUGAUUCGAAUGAUGAACGAGACGAACGUGAGAAACGAACCGGUUCGGUUUGUUCGUCCUUCGUCGUUCUGUUCGUUCAUUCGAACCGGUUCGCGAACGACCGAGCCAACACUAGAGAACACAUGUAGCGAUAGGCUAGGGAGCUAGACCUACAGUGCUUUGCUACGUGCUUACCUUCAAUAUAAUUACACUUGAACGUAUGUCGGUCUCCUGUGCUUAUUACUACUUGCAACAUAACAAAUUGGCGACGAAGAACUUACUCACGUUACUUUUGCACUACCGAUUUUUUUUGCUACAUUUUAAUGUUUCAAUAUGACUGCUACAGCACCUUUCCCGGAUUUGUUUCUGACUGCGCCGGGGGAGCCCGCCGUUCCAUUCAAGAUUUGGGAACAAAUGUUGAAGAACUACUGCUUGGUCAUCGACGUGGAUGGACUAAACUGGACUGAGGCAAGACAACGUGCCCUUUUGCUUCACUGCUUAUAUUAGGAACAGAGAGACAAAGAAUAUUUGACACAUUGCCGGAGACUGGUGCUACAUUGGCCACUGCGAUAGCUGCCCUGCAUGGCUACUUCACACCAAAGGUAAACGUUGUCGUCGAACGACACACAUUUAGAAAACGAGUCCAGCUAGCGGAUGAAUCAAUCAUUCAGUACAUGACUGCUUUGCGAAGGUCAGUUGCUACUUGUGAAUUUGCUAGCUGUGAUGACAUGAUACGUGACCAGCUAGUGGAACAUGUUGCAAAUCCACGUAUCCGAGAAAGACUGUUGCUAAAAGAAAAGUUAACACUAGAGCAGGCUACCACUAUUGCUAGUCAGAUGGAGUCAGCUGGAGAACCAGCGAAGUGCAUGACUAGUGUUAAAAGUAGCUAUACUGUACAUGCAGUCCAAGUUCAAGGAAAAGGGAAGAGUAGACAGCCAAGUCAUUCUACCGCCAGUUACACUCCUGCUACAAAUUCCCGCUCAUGUUUUUGUUGUGGAUCCGACAAGCAUUUGGCUAAUGCACCGGAAUGCCCCGCGAUUACAGUCAUGUGUAAAACCUGGGCCCCGUUUCCCGAUAUCGAUGGAUCUUAGCUCGUAAGAUGGCGCGAAAGAGGGAGCUUUCGAACCAUCGAUAAUUUCUUUGGAGCGUUUCCCGAAACUCCUCUGAACGCGCAUUCGCUGCACUCAAGACGAUCUUAGGAUUGUACCUGUCCACUGACAUGGUGCUGAAACGGGCUAUGACGCAGGGGGAGACGCAGGAAUGUCGGAGGAAAAUGGGGUUAAAAAGGGUUAAAAUAUCUCCCCAUCAAGGCCAACCGCAGAGUAGCCUACGAAAAGAAUAGAUUGCAAUAAUAUGAAUGCUAAAGAUAUUAAAACACAAUUGAUUAAGCCUAGGCCGACAUAUAUAUCAGUCCUAAUCCUGAACGCACUGUGCAUACAUUUAUUCACGGCAUUUCCCCCCCUGAAAUAAUUCCAUAUUACAAAAAUCCAAAAUAGCUUGUGUGACAACUACAUUUAUCUUAAUGUGCUGAUUUCUGAAACAUAUUGCGCAGCAAAGAGAGCCGACUUUAUCUAAUCCGCAUAUGGUUUCAUUGAUUGGUCACAUGAAAUGACCUACCUAUAAAAUAACCUGGGGAAUAUGGGUCGGGCUUCUACAAAAUGGCGGAAAAGGCACGUAAGAGAAAAGCCUUAUUCAAACCUGAGGAACUUAACGUUCUGCUUGAGGAGGUGGAGGCAAACAAAAGCCUCUUAUUUGACCGCUUCAAAGGUGCCCUCACCAACAAGCAUAAAUCUAAAAAGUGUGGGGAAAUAGCUGAGAGAAUGACUGCGGUCACCGGCAUCACUAGGUCCAAUGUGGACGUCCGGAAGAAAUGGCAAGACUUCGUCAGUCUUGCCAAAAAGAAAGCGUCAGAAUUUCGACGUCAAUCCAAUAUGACUGUUGCGGGGGUGCACACGGCGCAGGCCCUCAGCGACGAGGAAGAGCGAGCCAUGGCCAUCAUAGGCUACUCGGCAUCCCAAGGCAUCCCCGGGGGAGUGGAUAUCCUUGCGGGUAUCACGGAAGAGGGAGAUCUUUCAAGUGAGCAAUUGCAGGAGGAUGAGGAACCCAGGAUCCCCCACCAGUCCACCUCGGCUGCCCCCACCUCCAUGCCCGUCAUGACGCCCCUGCUGACCACACCGUUCACCUCGGCUGCCACCUCUACCCCUUCCACCCUCUCAACAGUCACAGCCUCCAUCAUCGGUCAUGGCUGCCAAUGCAGCCAAGACCUGGUGGAGUUGGAGAGGGAGAAGGUGGCUCUUCUCCGGGAAUCCUCCGAGCGUGACGCUCGCUUCCAGGUAGAGGUGAUUGUGCUGAAGAGGGCCAAGCUGGACCUUAUGGCACGUCAGCUUGUCCUCGAGGAGGAGAGGUUGGCCAGCAAAAAAUAAUCAUCCCGGAGCAAUAAGAUGGCGAUGGGUCAUGACGGGUGGGGGCAGCCGAGUUGCACUGGUGGGGGAUCCUGGGUUCCUCAUCCUCCUGCCAUUGCUCACUUGAAGGUUAUCCCUCUUCCGUGAUACCCGCAAGGAUAUCCUCUCCCCCGGGGAUGCCUUGGGAGGCUGAGAAGUCUAUGAUGGCCAUGGUUGGUUCUUCAUUGUCGUUGAGGGACUGCGCCGUGUUCACCCCGCACCGGUCUAAUUGGUUUGAUGUCGAACUUCCGACGCUUUCUUUAUCGCUCCACAUCGGACCUAGUGACCGCAUUCAUUCUCAGCUACCCCCCCCCCACUUCUUUGAGUUUUUAAAUAAAAACGUUGUUUUUCAAACGAUGUGUGAAAAUCAUGCAAUUACUAUGUUUCAGUCAAAUGCAGCCUAUGAACCACAAUGCUCUCCACAAAU
ensembl:lncRNA